GCUGUGGAACUCCUACGGGAGGCAGCAGUGGGGAAUUUUGGACAAUGGGCGCAAGCCUGAUCCAGCAAUGCCGCGUGCAGGAAGAAGGCCUUCGGGUUGUAAACUGCUUUUGUACGGAACGAAACGGUCUGGGUUAAUACCCUGGGCUAAUGACGGUACCGUAAGAAUAAGCACCGGCUAACUACGUGCCAGCAGCCGCGGUAAUACGUAGGGUGCAAGCGUUAAUCGGAAUUACUGGGCGUAAAGCGUGCGCAGGCGGUUUUGUAAGACAGUCGUGAAAUCCCCGGGCUCAACCUGGGAAUUGCGAUUGUGACUGCAAGGCUGGAGUGCGGCAGAGGGGGAUGGAAUUACGCGUGUAGCAGUGAAAUGCGUAGAUAUGCGGAGGAACACCGAUGGCGAAGGCAAUCCCCUGGGCCUGCACUGACGCUCAUGCACGAAAGCGUGGGGAGCAAACAGGAUUAGAUACCCCUGUAGUCCUACCACGU
rnacentral:rRNA from 1 species